CCCGCCCUCAUUCUCACCUUCUUCCUCUCUCCUCCCCACUUCCCCUCCUAAAACACCCGACGCCUCCAGACACCACCAACAGCGCCCUCGCCGCCCCACCUAGCCCACUCCCUUCCACGACCGGUGCGUCCCCACCCCCCCCCAACCGCCUGCGCGGCCCCGUGUACCACCGCGCUGCCCACCACCUCCCACCGAGCCGCCCGGCCACCACCACCCAGCGUGCCGGAUGCUGAUCUGCCCCGCCGCCACGCCGGACAGCCAUAGCAGCACUGGCCCGGCGCCACCCCUCCUAACUGGCCUUCUUCAAGAGCCCGGCGACGCGCCACCACAGCCAAGCCCGCCCCACGCACCGCCCAUGCUAACUCCAUCCACCUCGCCCCGCCCCCGGUGAAUGCCCUUUCUUCCCUGCACUGGAGCUCCCUGCCGGCCGCAUGGCCUGCCUGCGAUUUUGUUCCUCCCACCUUCUCGAUCUAGCGCCAGAUCCGUCGAUCCCGGCAGGGAGCCUUUCUCGAUCCACGCGCCAGAUCCCCCCUCUGCUCCUCUCCCCUGCUCAGCCACAGGGCCCGCUCUCAUGUCCACCGAUCAUCGUGGACUUCCUCUUUGGAGUGAACUGUAUGCGCAGCAAGCUGUGCCGCCAGUGGAGACGCCAGCAACCUCGAAGCUCUGCUCUCUGGGGGAGUGAGCUCCUACGCAUCGUGGUUUCCUGCUAGGCCCUGACGACCAGCUCGUCUUCCACGACGACCGGAGAGGAAGUCCACUUCUUGGAGGAGCACAAAGAAAGUUCUACUUGUCGGAAUCAAAGGAUUGAAUGUGCGGUGCAGUCCGAUCCCAUGAGCAGCGCGCCACGCGCCCUCCUAUGGCUGCGCUCUCCCGCAUUUUGCGGCAAUGCGGCCGCGUGCAGCUCAAUGGCAUCAUUUCUGCAGUCAACGCGGCCGCGUGCGGUUCCAUGGCGUCCUCUUUCAAUCCCACCACCACUGGGCUUCUCAGGUGCUCGGCUGUCCAACGUGUGGAUGGGUGCGGUAUGCAGUUUACUUGGUGUCGGCAGGAGGUUCUCUAGCUGGCCGCUGGGAGACCUUUGCGGCUGAAAACAAUUUGGAGUUCAUUUUUGCGGUGAAGUGCAUAUGUAAAAGUACAGAAUGGGCGUGUGUUUUGGAGAAGCUCAUUUUUUUGCAUUUAAAAAAAGGUUAUGCAUUGUGGAGUGCACUUAACUUUCAGGGUGCAUGCAGUGCAGUAGGGCAGCCCAUGCAGUGCGGCACUCACGGUCGUGUGUGUUGCUGAAGCGCUGGUCUUCUUCUCUGAUUUUUUAUACUCAUGAGUUCACAGUUUUAUUUGGUGCAGUUCAAUGCUUUGAUCACGGAA